rnacentral:sRNA from 1 species
AUAUGAACAACGCAAUAUUUAACAUUCUGAUUAAAAGCGUUCCGACGAGAUACCCGUCGUUUCUUCUUCGGAAGGGCGAUGUGAGGCUUCCAUGACAUCCGGAAAUCGUCAGAAGAAUGGAGAUUAGUGUAAAACAGCGGAUGGUCUUGGGUGCGGUGUCCUUCCUUUUCUUCAAUGAAGGGGGUCGCAAUGAUCAACCGUACAG